rfam:Ixodes scapularis strain Wikel colony gcontig_1108378377062, whole genome shotgun sequence.
CUGGUUAGCUCAGUUGGUAGAGCGCUCCACUUGUAAUGGAGAGGUCCCGGGUUCGAUACCCGGACCAG